ACGGUUAACCGGGUGGGUCGUCAAGGUGGACGGAGAGAUCGAGGACUGGACCGGAAGUGAAGGUCCAGCUUCAAAAUAAAGGUUCAGUUUGCUGUAAUUCCUACCGUCGUUCCCGUUGCCAUCCUGGUUCAUGAUGUCAUAGACCACGCCCAGAACGCUGUUCACCACUUCCGGCAGCUCAGCGGAGGUUUCCGUUUCGACGGGGGCAGAGAUGUUCGUCUCCAGCAGCUGGUCGUGCUGCA